rnacentral:rRNA from 1 species
UACGUAGGUGGCAAGCGUUGUCCGGAUUUACUGGGCGUAAAGAGCGCGCAGGCGGCCGAGUAAGUCGAAUGUGAAAGCCCCCCGGCUCAACUGGGGGAAGGUCAUUCGAUACUGUUCGGCUCGAAGAUAGGAGAGGGAAGCGGAAUUUCAGGUGUAGUGGUGAAAUGCGUAGAUAUCUGAAGGAACACCAGUGGCGAAGGCGGCUUUCUGGCCUAUUCUUGACGCUGAGGCGCGAAAGCUAGGGGAGCGAACGGGGAUUAAGAUACCCC